rnacentral:misc_RNA from 1 species
CUGCUUAGGUUCUCCAUUUUUACCUCCUAUAGUGGUGGAAAUGAUGUGACCAGUGACCGGAUCCCCCCCAUCCACAACUCGCGCAGACAUUUCCUUAUCAUCAGCCAUGGUUAGAGACAGAGACAGGAGUCCCAAGUUUUCUUACUCAGAUAGAGAGAUCAUGGUGUGGCGACAGAGAAGGGAAGAAGCAAGAGGAGGAAGAAGACCCAGGAGAUUGAGAGAGAGAAACAAAGAGAGACAAGAACAAGAACAAGCCCAUGUGAUUCCAGCUUGCUCUUUUUCUUUUUGAGAGUUUUCUUGGUUUGGUCUUCUCUCUCUCCCCCUUUUCCUUCCUUUCUCUCUCCUCCUUCCCCUUUCUUUCUAUCUCUC